rnacentral:rRNA from 1 species
UACGGAGGGGACUAGCGUUGUUCGGAAUUACUGGGCGUAAAGCGCACGUAGGCGGAUUUGUAAGUCAGGGGUGAAAUCCCGGGGCUCAACUCCAGAACUGCCUUUGAUACUGGAGAGCUUGAGUCCGGAAGAGGUGAGUGGAACUCCGAGUGUAGAGGUGAAAUUCGUAGAUAUUCGGAAGAACACCAGUGGCGAAGGCGGCUCACUGGUCCGGUACUGACGCUGAGGUGCGAAAGCGUGGGGAGCAAACAGG